rnacentral:pre_miRNA from 1 species
UUUAUACUCCCUCCGUUCGGAAUUACUUGUCUCAGAAAUGGAUGUAUCUAGAACUAAAAUACAUCUAGAUACAUCCAUUUCUACGACAAGUAAUUCCGAACGGAGGAAGUACUAA